AUGAUAGGAAACAGAAGAAAAAACACAACUUGAGUCGUGAUCUCAGCUGGAAAGCAGACACCAACAGCUGUGAGACUACUGUGAGACAUUCCCCUUGCCUCAACAAUGUCUGACUAUUCAAAUUGUUCCAGCGGAUAUAACUCAGUCAUUUGAAAAGGAACUCUACUUCAAAUGACCAAGAAAAAUUAUUAAUGACUUCAGAGAUCAUUAUCAAAACUUACUUUGCUCCUUCAAAGUCAAGUGAGAAGUACUAGAUAACAGUGACUUCUGCGUGGACUUCAGCUAUUCUAAAAGAAAAGCCUACCAGGGAAUUCAGCAAGCUGGAUAUCCAAUUUGAUGAGUGCAUGAAAGUAAGUAGCACUCAUUUUAACAAAAUUUAUACAUAAAAAUAUAAGUUAAAUUGCUAAA
rnacentral:lncRNA from 1 species